rnacentral:rRNA from 1 species
GACGAACGCUGGCGGCGUGCUUAACACAUGCAAGUCGAACGAAGUGGCGAACGGGUGAGUAACGCGGAAUCAACCUGCCCUUCAGAGGGGGAAAACAGAUGGAAAAGACUGCUAAUACCGCAUACUGAAGGAGGGGAUUGAGUCUGAUUAGCUAGUGGGAGGGGUAACGGCCCACCAAGGCGAUGAUCAGUAGUCGGUCUGAGAGUAUGAACGGCCACAUUGGGACUGAGACACGGCCCAGACUCCUACGGGAGGCAGCAGUGGGGAAUCUUCCGCAAUGGACGAAAGUCUGACGAAGCAACGCCGCGUGAGUGAUGACGGCCUUCGGGUUGUAAAGCUCUGUUAAUCGGGACGCGGUACCGGAAUAGAAAGCCACGGCUAACUACGUGCCAGCAGCCGCGGUAAUUC